UACGAAGGGGGCUAGCGUUGCUCGGAAUUACUGGGCGUAAAGCGCACGUAGGCGGUCUUUUAAGUCGGGGGUGAAAUCCUGGAGCUCAACUCCAGAACUGCCUUCGAUACUGGAGGACUUGAGUCCGGGAGAGGUGAGUGGAACUGCGAGUGUAGAGGUGAAAUUCGUAGAUAUUCGCAAGAACACCAGUGGCGAAGGCGGCUCACUGGCCCGGUACUGACGCUGAGGUGCGAAAGCGUGGGGAGCAAACAGG
rnacentral:rRNA from 1 species